CCUACGGGUGGCAGCAGUGGGGAAUAUUGGGCAAUGGGCGCAAGCCUGACCCAGCAACGCCGCGUGAAGGAAGAAGGCUUUCGGGUUGUAAACUUCUUUUGUCAGGGAAGAGUAGAAGACGGUACCUGACGAAUAAGCAACGGCUAAAUACGUGCCAGCAGCCGCGGUAAUACGUAGGUGGCAAGCGUUGUCCGGAUUUACUGGGUGUAAAGGGCGUGUAGCCGGGUUGACAAGUAAGAUGUGAAAUCCUGCGGCUUAACCGCAGAACUGCAUUGGAAACUGUUGAUCUUGAGUACUGGAGAGGCAGAUGGAAUUCCUAGUGUAGCGGUGAAAUGCGUAGAUAUUAGGAGGAACACCAGUGGCGAAGGCGGUCUGCUGGACAGCAACUGACGGUGAGGCGCGAAAGCGUGGGGAGCAAACAGGAUUAGAUACCCGUGUAGUC
rnacentral:rRNA from 1 species